UCUGUGCCUGCUAUAUCGAUUGCCUGCGACUAUCCGGAACGCCCAAAACUGCCAGACGGCACAACUGCGGCAAAGGAAGACAUGAUCGCCGCACAGUCAUCGGUCAAGAGCUUUCUCGCUGCUGUCGACGAAUAUCUAACCUGCAUUGAGCAGGAAGAAGCAGCGGCAAUCGCAGCCAUGGAUAGUCCCGACGAGGAGACCCUCAAGCGUCGGGACGACCUGUUGGCGAAGCGCUUCGAUGCCGCCAAUGAAGAGAAGUUUCUGUUUGGCGAACAGUGGAAUCAGCAGGUGCGAGCGUAUAACGCUGCGGGAACCGCGAACAAAUCAGAGUAAUUUCGACCAGCGGUACUUGCGAAAGGCGGGUC
rnacentral:rRNA from 1 species